AGUGCACGAUUUUCAGCUACAGCAAUUUCAGUACACAAGCUACGGCUACGGCGGACACAACAGUGCACACUACGAUAAUUUUGGUACCUACGAGAAUAAUAACAGUGAUCCCAAACGCAUACCUUGGAUAUCGCCUAAGCACUGUGCUGAUUUAUCUGAAUGAUGUGCAACGAGGCGGUGCUAUUGUAUUUCCUCAUUUAAACCUGACGUUGUCACCAGAGCGUGGCAAGGCGUUGUUCUUCUAUAAUCUGAAUCCCAAGAACUUUGACUACGACGAGCGUAUGUUGCAUGCCGCGUGUCCAGUGCUGCUUGGACAUAAAAUGGUAUUGACGCAGUGGAUACACGAACGGGAUCAAAUGUUUACUAAGCCGUGCAUUAAUGCGCCGCUAUAUCGAAAAUAUAACUAUGCCUUACCUGGCUUUUCAGAUGCCACAGCU